rnacentral:rRNA from 1 species
UACGAAGGGGGCUAGCGUUGCUCGGAAUGACUGGGCGUAAAGGGCGCGUAGGCGGCGCCGCAAGUCGAGUGUGAAAGCCCCGGGCUCAACCUGGGAAUUGCGCUCGAGACUGUGGUGCUGGAGUUCGGGAGAGGAGCGUGGAAUUCCCAGUGUAGAGGUGAAAUUCGUAGAUAUUGGGAAGAACACCGGUGGCGAAGGCGGCGCUCUGGACCGAGACUGACGCUGAGGCGCGAAGGCGUGGGGAGCAAACAGG